rnacentral:rRNA from 1 species
GCUGACGUGGGGGCAGCAGCGGGGGUAAGACAGAGGUGGCAAGGGGUAGUCGGAAUGACUAGGCGUAAAGGGCAGGUAGGUGGUCUGAUAAGUCGGUUGUGUAAGCUCCCGGCUUAACUGGGAGAGGUCAACGGAGACUGGCAGACUUGAGUAUAGGUGAGGGUACUGGAAUUCCUGGUGUAGCGGUGAAAUGCGCAGAUAUCAGGAGGAACACCAAUGGCGAAAGCAGGUACCUGGACUAUUACUGACACUCAGCUGCGAAAGCUAGGGGAGCAAACAGGAUUAGAUACCCGGGUAGUC